rnacentral:lncRNA from 1 species
AAAUGGUUCACUGGUUACUGUUAUGGUCAGUUGUUAUUUUAAAACAUGUAAAGAAGGUAUUACAGAGAAAUACAGAAUAAUUUAUGAUUUUGAGAAUACCCAAGAAUUGCUGGGAAUUCCAAUUUCUUGUUCCGGAAUCCUGAAGAUUAUUGUCUCUCAAGAAUUUGCAGACACGGUACAGUCCCUGGCACGAGCAGACACUCAGCGUAUAUUUAGAAAGAAGGGAUGUUAUUUUGUUGUUUGAUGGUCCCAGCUGUCCUAUGAAGUAGAAGUGAAUGUGCCAUUUUACACGUGAGAAUCCUGGCUCUCCUUUGAGACUGACGGGGGACAACAUCCUUAAGAUUCUUAAAAGCUGCAUUGUUCGCUGAGAUGGCCUGUGCGCCACCCCUCAGGACUCCUGGAAGUACUGAUAGUGCCUUUGCUCGUCUUCACCUGCUCUGUGGCCCAGGAGACUGCUGGUUGAGUUCAGCCACCAGAUGACGCCAGCUGAAGGUCAGUGGGGGUGGUGGUGAAUGAAGUCACAGUGUUCAUUCCUCCAGCUCCCUCCCAGAAAAUGGUCUGAAGGAGGAACUCAGGAAAAGGAUUCUAGAGGAAAGGCCUCCCAGACCACAGCAACCGUGACUAGAAGAAGUCCCGGUCAUAAAGACGCCAAACGUCCAAGGAGGGGCCGGGCUGAGGCUGCAAGGCCCUACCACCAAGCUGAAGAAACUGCCACUUGUUGGAGACAAAUUUGUGGAGUUGAGAAUGGUCUCUCUCAAAAAGACACUUCUUGAAGAGUCUGGGCCAGGGUCUUCCGUUUUGCUUUUAUAUGGGAUUUAAUGCUAGAAAGCAUUAAAUACAUACACAUACAUGUAUAGAUACACAUAUACAAAGAGAUAUACAGGUAAAGAUAAACAUAUUUGGACAUGGAUAUACAUACACAAACAGACAUACACAUAGACACGGAUGCAGGGGACUGAGGUGACCACCACGUGAAGAGCUGAUAGGCCACUGGGAACACCCAGGCCUCCUUUCCAAUGAUCUUCUCAAAGUGUGAGCACACCACAUGGCACAGCUGUCUUCACUGCUAUAUUCUAGAACGCCCCUGCAUCAGAUUCCUUCUCACAUAAGAACCAACAGUGAUAACGCCAUACCUCGUUGUGCGAUGAAACACUACGGGGCCCUUGAAAGGAGAGAGGUAGAUCUUGAGGACUAACAGCGAAAGAUGCCACUGUGGUGGAGCGCCUGCUGUGAGGUGAACAAAGGAAAUGCAGAGCUGUGAACAGAGGAGACUUCUCUCUGGUGUUUUUUGGGGAGGAGAUGAUUAGACGGUGCAUAGAAAAAAUUCUAAGGGAAUGUGCAUCAAAAUGUUACCGUUUUUUUCUUGGGGAGGAGAUCAUGGGGGAACAUUCCACAUUUUUCUAUAUUAUAUGCUUCUCUAAUGUUUCAUGCUUUUAUAAAAAAAUGCAUUACCUUUGAAAUCAGAAAAAACAGAUGGACACAUAAAACACACAUGUUCAUAUUGUGUACGCACCAUGUUCUCUAAAGCUUGCUUCCUUACGAGGUCUGCCUCGCCCUCACACCACUCCCAGACCUUCACUUCAUCAGUCCUGCGCCUUCACUUUGGCUUUUCCUUCUGCCCAGAGUGCCUGCCCCGAGCCUUUCAUUAUUCCAAAUUCUCUUUUUUUGAAGAAGAUGAUUACUAACAUCUGCUGCCAAUCCUCCUCUUUUUGGUCAAGAAGAUUGGCCCUGAGCUAACAUCUGUGUCCAUCUUCCUCUACUUUAUAUGUGGACGCCUGCCACAGCAUGGCUUGAUAAGCAGUGUGUAGGUCCACACCCAGGAUCCAAAUCUGCAAACCCCAGGCCACCAAAGCGGAGCAUGUAAACUUAACCACUACACCAUCGGGCCAGCCCCUAAAAUUCUCCCCGCCUGACCAUCAAGGAUGGCCCAGAUUAAAUUCAAAGGUCUCCCUGAAACCGUUCCCCCAGUUCUGAGUCCAUUUGGACUCCUUCUUUCCUCAACUUUCAUAAAGCCAACUGCAGCGUGUAUGAGAAUCCCCUGGAGAAACUGUUAGUGCUCCUGUUACCCAUCCCCAGAAACUCUGACCCAGCAGCACCAUGGUAGGCCCAAAGUUUGCACUUCUAACAAUACUCCCUAGUGCUGUCGAUGCUGCUUGUUGUGGGUCACAUUUUAGGAGGCCCUGGCUAGAAAUCAACAACUUAGAACUCAUUGUGUUGCUUUCCUUCUUUAUCAAACAUACGCUCUGUCAUUGGACUGCCAGUUCCUUGUGGGCGGGCACCUAGUUUUACAUUCUUCUGAAUCCUCCGUGGUUUGGGAGCCACGAGAUGUUCACAGGACAUGUGUUACCUGAGGCUUGGAGGUCUGCAGGUUUUCUCAGUAAUUUAGACAGUGGUAAAGACUAUGGAAGAGUUUACAGCAGUCUCUUCCGCUAUGACCAGCUCCAGAAAGCUUUCUGGCCCUGGUUCUGAACUUGAAUGCCUCUAGAAUCCAUGUGUAUGACCGUAUGACUUUACACAGGUUAAGGGACAAUGGACAUAUCAGCCUCGGGAGGACAAUUCCUUUAUGGAGCCUCAGAAUCUCUGAAAACACAACUUUAUAAUGAGACUUCCUUUAAUUUCUAGACUGUUCCUAAACUAGUGGGUUCCUGAGGCUGGCUAAUACAACUUGACUAUAACAGAGCAGUCUGAACUUAGGUGGCCACAACUAAGUGUGAAAUGCAAAUGUGCAACUGACUUCUAGCUUUAUGUUUUAAAAGGAGCGAUGGGAUACCUGGGCCUGGUGCUGACCCACUGUAUGAAUGCCAAUCACUCCAUGCAAGUCAGAGUACAGAAGCUGGCCCCAUAGAGGUCCCCUGAUGGCUACCUCUCCAGAAGAGCCCCAAGCAACAGAACACACACCCAAUCCAUGCUGUAACUCUGCACCUGCCAAGGCCCACCCUUCUUUCUCCAACCAAUAAAGCCCCCAGUUUUCUUGGGGACUACAGACAAUUGGAAUGAUCCCACCCACCCAUCUCUGUGCAGUGUGUUGAGAGUGCUGAGAAUCUCUAGUCCUUGACUCUCCUCUUUGGCAUACAUCCCAUUCUCUUUUCCACUGGAUCUUGAGGAGACAGGAGGCAUCAUUAAAGCUUGUGUGUG